rnacentral:rRNA from 1 species
UACGGAGGAUCCGAGCGUUAUCCGGAUUUAUUGGGUUUAAAGGGUGCGUAGGCGGCCUUGUAAGUCAGGGGUGAAAGCCGGUAGCUUAACUAUCGCAGUGCCUUUGAUACUGCAGGGCUUGAAUGUACUUGAGGUAGGCGGAAUGUGACAAGUAGCGGUGAAAUGCAUAGAUAUGUCACAGAACACCAAUUGCGAAGGCAGCUUACUAAGGUAUGAUUGACGCUGAGGCACGAAAGCGUGGCGAUCAAACAGG